ACGCUGGCGGCGUGCCUAAUACAUGCAAGUCGAGCGAACAGAUAAGGAGCUUGCUCCUUUGACGUUAGCGGCGGACGGGUGAGUAACACGUGGAUAACCUACCUAUAAGACUGGGAUAACUUCGGGAAACCGGAGCUAAUACCGGAUAAGAUUUUGAACCGCAUGGUUCAAUAGUGAAAGACGGCCUUGCUGUCACUUAUAGAUGGAUCCGCGCCGUAUUAGCUAGUUGGUAAGGUAACGGCUUACCAAGGCAACGAUACGUAGCCGACCUGAGAGGGUGAUCGGCCACACUGGAACUGAGACACGGUCCAGACUCCUACGGGAGGCAGCAGUAGGGAAUCUUCCGCAAUGGGCGAAAGCCUGACGGAGCAACGCCGCGUGAGUGAUGAAGGUCUUCGGAUCGUAAAACUCUGUUAUCAGGGAAGAACAAACGUGUAAGUAACUGUGCACGUCUUGACGGUACCUGAUCAGAAAGCCACGGCUA
rnacentral:rRNA from 1 species